rnacentral:rRNA from 1 species
CAAUAGCGUAUAUUUAAGUUGUUGCUGUUAAAAAGCUCGUAGUUGGAUUUCGGGUGGGACGCAGCGGUCUCGCAUUGCGUUUGUACUGCUGCAGCCCUCCUUCUUGCCGGGGGCGGCCUCUCGGACUUCACUGUCUGGGGGUCAGAAUCGGCGAUGUUACUUUGAGUAAAUUAGAGUGUUCAAAGCAAGCUUACGCUCUGAAUAUAAUAGCAUGGGAUAACACGACAGGACUCUGGCCUAUCGUGUUGGUCUAUAGGACCAGAGUAAUGAUUAAGAGGGACAGUCGGGGGCAUUCGUAUUCCGUUGUCAGAGGUGAAAUUCUUGGAUUUACGGAAGACGAACAUCUGCGAAAGCAUUUGCCAAGGAUGUUUUCAUUGA